CAGCCGCCGCGGGAAUACGUAGGGUGCGAGCGUUAAUCGGAAUUACUGGGCGUAAAGCGUGCGCAGGCGGUUAUAUAAGACAGUUGUGAAAUCCCCGGGCUCAACCUGGGAACUGCAUCUGUGACUGUAUAGCUAGAGUACGGUAGAGGGGGAUGGAAUUCCGCGUGUAGCAGUGAAAUGCGUAGAUAUGCGGAGGAACACCGAUGGCGAAGGCAAUCCCCUGGACCUGUACUGACGCUCAUGCACGAAAGCGUGGGGAGCAAACAGGAUUAGAUACCCCCGUAGUCCCUGUCUCUUAUAC
rnacentral:rRNA from 1 species